AUUGAACGCUGGCGGCAGGCCUAACACAUGCAAGUCGAGCGGAAGAACGGUGAUAGCUCCUGGAUACAGGGGCGGACGGGCGGGUGAGUCAUAGGAAUAUGCCAGGCAGCGGUGGAUAAGGUCCGGACACGGGCGCUAAUACGCUAUACGUGCAGAGGACGAACGGGGGGGAUCAUCGGACCUCAGGAUAUUGGAUGAUCCUAGGUCGGAUUAGCUAGUUGGUGGGGUAAAGGCCUACCAAGGCGACGAUCCGUAACUGGUCUGAGAGGAUGAUCAGUCACACUGGAACUGAGACACGGUCCAGACUCCUACGGGAGGCAGCAGUGGGGAAUAUUGGACAAUGGGCGAAAGCCUGAUCCAGCCAUGCCGCGUGUGUGAAGAAGGUCUUCGGAUUGUAAAGCCCUUUUAGUUGGGAAGAAGAGCAGUAAGUUAAUACCUUGCUGUUUUGACGUUACCAAAAGAAUAAGCACCGGCUAACUUCGUG
rnacentral:rRNA from 1 species